rnacentral:rRNA from 1 species
GAAUUUUAUAAUUAGGUUUACUAAAGAAAGAGGUGUAAUUAUUUUAUUUUAGUUUAUUGUUAAUUAUUUGAUUGGGAGGAUUUCUAAAUUAAUUAAACUUUAGAGUUAUAAUUUAAACGAUUAUCUAUGAUUUUGGUUGAUUAUUUUUUAAUAUUGUAGAAUUAAUUACCUUAGGGAUAACAGCGUAAUACUUUUGGUUAGUUCAUAUAAAUAAAGGUGAUUGC